ACGUGACGGGGAACCGCCGGACGUGACGCCCGCUCACUUCCGGGUUUGCUGCCGGAGCUGAACGGUCUAAAAGCUAAGAAACGUAGGAAGCGUCGGAUUCUGCAGCGCCUCCUUUCCUGCUGCUCUGGGGUUGGAACUGGCUUCCUGUACUCACUUCCAGUGCACAAUGCAAAAGCGGGUUUGAAUUAAGAGAGAGGCAAGGCAUAGGGAAGUGGACCAUCUCUUAAGUUUCUCGCUUGCAAACGCCUUUUUCUUUUUUACACUCUUCUCCCCGGGGUGGAACUAGAAUUGUCUAUAUAGAAAUCAAUGGGGGAAUCCAAAACUUGAAGGCUGCAGACAGAAGCAAAGACAGGAGCCCAUAGUCCUACUCAGAGUAUCUCCUGUUGAGAUAAUGAACCUAAGGUCGUGUCCUUUAAUUUAAGGUGUACUCUUGAGUAGUUGAAUGCAGCCAUGGGUGUAGCUGCCCCCCCAUCAAUAAAAAUCAAUAAACAUACGAGGUCCUGGCCCCCUAACAAAAGCCUGCUCCCUAACAAAAAUCCUGGCGACACCCAUUAAUGCAGCCCUUUCAAGUCGCCCGUCCAUGUGCAUGGAAGCCUUUUGCAUGCAGUUAAAUGCAGGAAUUCAGAUUCAUAGCUGUCAACCUUCCCCCCCCCCUUUUUUUUUUUGCGGGAAAUUCCCUUAUUCCAGCGCUGCUUUCCGCUGCUAUCCCCGGGACAAGGGCCAUAGCUGGGAAGAGAUGCUCUUUGCUACCACAAUCACCUGAACCUCCAACAACAACAGUGAACCAAAGAGAAACCCCACGCUAUGUAGCUGCUCCUUCAGCGGGGGUGCUACACAAUCCAAAUCUGGCUGUCUUUCCGUUUCCUGGACAUGAGAACUAAACAAAGAUGAAGAGAAUAAAGAGGCAUGAAGUCAUUUAAAGAGGAAAAAACUUUUUUUAAAAAAUAAAUUUUUAUUAAACGUUUCAAAAGUUUUUUA